CUACAACCCUGGCACACCAAGCUGACCCGUUACCUCCAAAAAUGUUCCAGAACUGCUGAACGCUGCUGGAGAAAGUCUCACUUUGCAUCUGACUUUGUCCACUAUAAAUUUAUGCUGCGCUCCUACAGCAUGGCUCUUUCCUCUGCAAAAGUAAGCUACUUCAACACCCUCAUAAGCACACUGUCCCACCAUCCCAAACACCU